UGUACAUAAAUAUGAGAGAUGCAUAGAAAUGAAUUACAAAAUUGUCUUGUGGGGACUACAAAAUGACGAGCCUACAGCGUUAUGUGUGACGUAACUGAGUUUUGUGUUCUAAUAUUCAUAAAAAUGGUUACUUAAAACUUUGCUAAACAUUUCGCCUAUUUUUUCCCCUGAUCUUGUUCGGUUCGAUUGUGUCACAUGCAAGUGUGUAACCUUGAUUGUUAGGGCGUGUUUGGUUCCUGUCCAGAGCUUGCCACAGCUCGCCGCACCUCAUGUUAGCCUGUGUUUGCUUUGUGACUCAACCUGCGGUGUGCUGCACUGGCCUCAAUGGCCGCUCAGUGGUUUUUCUCAGCAAUUCUUGCCAAAAGCUUGGCAACUUUUUUUUCUGCUACAAGUCUGGCGCCGCCUGAACCUCGGUGUGGCCAGGUCUGGUCGAGAACCAAUAGAUCCUUAGUAGUUUUGUUACUCAAUUGUCUUGUGGGUAUCUGCACCACGUUUUGCUUCUCUUUACAUUUGAAGAUUGAUAUAUCGCUAAUCUGACCUGUGUGAUUUUCUUAAUUCAGUAUGUGUGUAUUUGCUAAAUAGUUCCAUCUAAAUCUGAACCGAAAAAAAACCCUAGAAACUCGAUGUUUUCAUUUUAUUUAGCACUGAGAUACCUAUACACUUUUUUAAUUAUGUAGAAAUGAAAGAUUUUGUUACACUUUCUUUUAUGUAUGUCCACUUAGCUCAAUGGUUAGAGCUUGGCGUUGUACUAAUAGCAUAUAAUAUUUUGUACAAAUUCAUCAAAUUGUGCCUCUGCCACAUACUGACAUACUGAUUAGCAUCAUUUAGCAAGUAGUGAAUAACAAACCACUGGAUUAUCAAUAGUAUAUAACAGACUUUUUUGUUUGUCUUCAUCCAAUCCCUAUCUACUGACCAUCGGGUUCAUUAUUCUAUUAGCCUAUCUCGUGUUAACUGUGCAUAUCUCCUUGAGCAUUGAAAAUUUUAGGAUAUGAAACAAGUUCUUCGAUAGUUAUGAAGAGUUCUAAUGCAUGAUUACCAGCCAUUUAAGAGCUAGUUUGGAUAAACAAUUCCCCUUGUGGAUUUGAGGGGGUCGACUCGAGGAGGAAUGAACUAAUUUCCCCCUCAAUUCGCCAGUCCCCUCCAGUCCACAUGGAGAAUGGGCGUAUUCAAACAAACCCUCAGUGGAUAUGACUGUUAUCCUGCAUUUGCUACUCAGAUCAUAAAGACGGCUACAAAUGCAUGUAUAGAACACUUUGUGCAAGAUAUGUAAUAUCAGCAGUUAGUUAUUUAUCUUCAAAUCUGCUCUCAAUCUGGAGUGGACUACGUCAUUGGGUCAAGCCCCACUGGAAGUUAUGGUAAUGAAAUACUUGUACCGAUCUUGCUUUGCUCCCUGCACUGUGCAUGCCAGUGGAUGCAGCUAAUUUGAUAACAGCAUUGAAUUCAUUUAUCAAUUAACAUAAAGGUAGCCAAGCAACUGUCUUGCUUUGAGGGCAGUGAAAGCUGAAAGCACUUCAAUCAUCAGGAAGCAGCUUGGCGCGCUGCUGCUGUCUACUACUCCCCGACAGAUUGGCAUAAUUCAAGGGCCAAGGGCCACAACGGUUUGCAUAGACUUACUGCUUCAAGUUAAUCAGACUAAUCAGAAAACAGAUGUGCUACUUGAUGAAGGAUUUGAGUAGCACAAUGGUCAUGGAACUUAGGGAAUGUACUGGGGACUUUUAAUGGUAGUUAACUAGUAGAUUUGGGGUCUUCGAGGUCUCACUUGCUAAGUAUAUGAGCUGGAAUCCAUGGGGCUGUGCACUCCAUGCAUGUCAUGCUCAUCAUAUCUUUAGAGUUGGGAGAAGGUUUGGUUGGCAUGUGAGUGUCCCUGUGAUUUGUUUUCUGUGGUGGUAUUGGAAUUAGGGGAGAGCUUGGGGGUUGUUUGUCUUUGUUAAAAUACGGCGUUCCACACCCCCAUCACAGCUGUGCAGACGUUGGUCGGACGGCUGUCGGAGGUACAGUUUGUUAACAGACGGGAAGCUUUCUGGAGGAUCUGCUGUGCCAUGUGACGGUAGACCCUCUGGAUCCUGUCAUUUGGUCUGUGCCGGAAGGUACGGGAGAGGGGAUCUUUUACAUGUAUUUUCUGUCACUUGCUCAGUGUUUUCUUGCUUCAAAAUCAGGUCUGUGUUUGGUGGUAGAACCAGUGCUGCAAUACACAAUGGUGGACCAUUACAUUAAUUCAUUCCGUUACCCAGCAUGUGCUCUGUUAUGUUUCCGUACCAGCGGCUCAUUUUGAUUCGAACCUUUGCUGCCUCUCAUGAGUUGUUGUUUGUUUAGGCAUUUCAUUUUCCCUCUGUGCCAAUCAGUUCCAGUAUAGCUACACCCUGUAGGUGCUGCAGAGAAAUGACAAAAGGACUUAAAUUAGCCUUGCUACUAGCUGACAAGAUAUUUGUGAGGUCUACUCAAAUCUCCUCAAGAAUCAAACGUGAUGUAUUGCCUUUAUAACGACAGUGGUAUUUGUUUCUGAAAAAAAAGAUAAACAGGAAAGCUUCGCUUGCAAACAAUAUGGAAUCUGCAAUGAUUGAUUGGUGUAAGGAAAGAAGGUUCCUGGAGAUUCACAUACUUGACUAGCAGCAGAGAUCUGGAGAUUAUUGGUGAGAUGUACAAGCAGCUGUGUGUUGCCCCUAGGAGGGGAACCAGAUUGCACAAAUUAACAAACAAAAGGGACUACAGUAGAGAAAGGACAAGAGAUGAUUCCCUGCAUUUCUGAAAGGAAAAGGGUGGGUAGGAAUGAAGCGACAGCCCUAAAGGAGUUUGGCAAUACCUUGUGGUGAAGAAUGGGCAAUAGAUGUUGGAUGUCGCGCUGCCAUGAGUUUUUUCUGCUUGCCCAAUUGAACCGGACCUUGGGAAGAAGAGAAAGGCAUUUGAUGGAGGCAACUCCCUCAGGUGGGGAGAAGAGCCUGCGCUCCACCUGGCCAGUGCAGUGGCUGCUCUGUUAAUGCCUUUGCCUUUUUUCACGAAUGAGGUAAAAAGGAGCCAUGCACUUGAAACUUUGAUUCUGGCAAGGAAACUAUACAUACCGGCAUCAUGCUACCACUUGCACUCUGUGAAACCUUUGAUGCAGGAACAGUCCGAUGGGGUAUAUGUAAAUGCUGCUGUACAAAUACAGCACACUUGGCAGAGUACCUUUUGUUUUCCUACGGAUGAAUGAUUGGAGCUGUAGGCAUAUGGUAGGUACUUUUGGUUUUCAAUUACCCCUAGACGGCGGCUUGUUUGUGCUGAUACUAGAUGGUUUUCUGCAGCUUGUGGAGUGCCCCUGAUUCUUUAACACAAGAAGCAGCACGAGUCCAGCAAAUCACAGCCGCAUCAGCUGCUUGUAACAGCACAUCAGUCGUCAUCAUCAGUAUAUCUAAUUCCGGAGUUGCAAGACAUUCUACUGUGCAAGACAACUGUGCCUCAGUGCCUGCAUGGAAACCUGCAGUUGUUUAAUCCCGUAAAAACCGGUAAGCAGGUGAGCAGGGCGGAGUUCUUGUGCUCCAUGAAAUGAACCUGAGCUGUACUACUUGGCAUGAUCCAGAUCCAAAGCUAAAUUUGAAUCAUUUUUGCAGAUCCCAAGAGCAAAGCCCUCGCCUGCCUGUCGCGAGUACUCGCUCACUCACUGCUCCCCCACAACCGGUGGAGUCAGGCCAAUCCAGCGGCAUUUGCAGGUGGCCAUCUCACCACCCCAUCGCCAUUCCGCUCUCUCGAAGCAACGCAAUAUGGCAGUGUGCUGCUGCUGUGCCCGGCCAGCGCAGUUUGACAGGGGAGAUGAACAGUAGCAGGGCCGAGCGCCACCACCACCACCACCGCGACAGGGCCCCCCAACCCACUCCUCGCCGCGCCUUUAUGGGGAGGAGGCGAGGCUCAUCGGCCGCUACAGUUCUGGUCCUCUGGUCGGCCCGCGGCCGGUGACAGCUUGGUGGCCGGCGGGGCACCGUACCAGUACAAGCCUUGGACGCCAUCCAUGAUCUAUCCAACACAUUGAUGCCGCGGCCUCGCAGAGAGGUGGCAAUGAAUUGAAGCUGAUGAUGGAUGGGGUGGUGGUGGCGCACUGGCGCUGGCAGAUCAGAGCAGGUGCUGAUGAUUCGCAUCGUACGCCGCCGCUGCCAUCAGUCUGGUUUAUAUCCACUCCACCACCUGCUGCUGCUUGCUUUCUUGGCUGCCGCGUUUGGUUACUCUUCCGCCGGCUGUGGCAGUGGCACACCCGUUUGUUCCCUUUGCAAGGUACUCUUAAAUGGCCAGCACCCGGCAAGGCACCCAUCUCUUCC